CGUUAUUUUACUUACUCCGUGAA
rnacentral:snRNA from 1 species